rnacentral:rRNA from 1 species
UACGGGGGGGCAAGCGUUGUUCGGAAUUACUGGGCGUAAAGGGUUUGUAGGUGGCCCGCUAAGUCACACGUGAAAUCCCUCAGCUUAACUGGGGAACUGCGUGUGAGACUGGCAGGCUCGAGGGCAGGAGAGGAACGCGGAAUUCCAGGUGUAGCGGUGAAAUGCGUAGAUAUCGUAAGGAAGACCAGUGGCGAAGGCGGGUCUCUGGACAGUUCCUGACGCUGAGGCACGAAGGCCAGGGAGCAAACCGGG